GUGUCUCAAAUUCACGCGGAAGUUAGCUGCCUCUGGCACGUCUCGGCAUCCAUUAUGCAUGGAUAUAUCGCGAAAAGAGCAAACGGAAUCUCUGUUUAGCUCUUGCUGUUGUUAAGUCGGAAUCUAAAUCUUCUAUACACGGCUCUUGUUGGCUAAUUUCAAAUUCCCGAAGAUUAUUUAUUUAUAAACACAAUUAUUAAGUUUCCUGUGUGCUCAUAAAGUUGUCAACUUGCUGUUACGUCAGAAAAAUGCAGUUAAUUUAUUAAUGCCUGGACUCAUACCUCUUGCUAGAUAAUUUUUAUUAAAAUAUAUAUAUAAUAAUAAUAAUUAUGACUACAUCCUUUCUGAUGUCACCGUAAGUCUGUAGAAAUCAUACCCGGGAUUAAGAAAAAUUUAUUAAGAGAAAUCAUCCAGGAUUAUGACGAAUUUAUAUUGUUAUUUUAUAGCUUGACGUAAAUGGGAAUUUAUUUUAUCGAAUUCUCGAUAAUUUUGAAAUCAAAAUUUUUUGUAAAAUAUUUUCACCCGCCCGAAUUUUAUCAAAUAAAUAUUAAGGGGAAUAGCCACUGUGAAAUUUAAAAAAAAAAAAUUUUUUUUUUUUGUUAAAACAAAGUGUAUAUGUUCAAAAAUAUGUAUCUAAAGUUUUAUAUGAAAAUUCCAAAUACUUUUCAAGUUAUAGUCAUUUUUGUGACAGCGCGUCAACUGACCGUUGCAUCGACUAAAAACUUUAAACGCAUUUUUCUCGAAACUACUUUUUUUGAACUGGUGGCAUCUGUAAUUUGCAUAAAUAUCAACCGAUUCACAACUUUUUUUUUUGCCGUAUUCGUCUAUUCAGUAGCUAAAGUUCAACGUAGGGGAUUUUGAAAAUUUUGAUUUUUAAGAUUUUUUAGGGCUGUUUGAAUCCAAAAAAAUGAGAAAAAAUAACGAAAAAAUUUUUAAUAUGUCGCCAUUUUUUUUCAAAUCCAAAUUUUCAAAAUCCCCUAUGUGCAACGAUAAUCACAUGCAUACAGAUUACAACGCCGUUUGGUUUUUUUGUUUCUGAUAAUCCGUUUUUGAGUUAGAGAUGACACCGUGGUGGGGGAAAUUUUUUUGUUGCUCCACAAAAAUGCUUAUAACUUUGUAACAACAUGAUAUUUUUUAAUGAAAAUUUAGGAGAAUUAUCAUCAAUGUAUACUUUAGAAAACAAAAAAACCCGAUCCCCAAAUUCCUUUAUUAUUCCAGUCAAAAAAAAUCCCGAAAAUCUAUUUUUUCGAUCCUCAUAGUGGCUAUCCCCCUUAAUGUAAAAUAAAAUAUUUUUUUUUUACAAUCAAGGAAAUACAACACCUUGACUUUUAAAAAUUCGUAACCGUUACAUGUGUAUUGUCUAGAACGUGAUCUUGUUACAAUUACAGCGUCCAUGCUCGGGUGGUUGGGAUCAUGUCAUCUAGUGCAUAAACUUUUCUAAAGAAUCGUAAUGUCUUUUGAUGUUAUAUAAUUUUAUUUAAUAACAAUCUAUCAAUAUUUCAAAAUAAAUAUCAGAAGAUUUAAAAAAAAAAAAAAAGUCAUAUGAGAAUGAGUAUUGAAACAGUGAUUGAAGUUACAAGUAAUACCGAGUAAAGAAGAAGUCAAACAAGGAGCAAAAAAAGGUAUAAAGAAACUUGGCCUGCCUUUCAUGGAUACUUUCAUCGAUGCCAAGAUCAUUUUAUUGUAACGAAACUUGUCGUUCGGCGCCGAUAUCAGGGCAUAUACCAACAUUACUCUUUUAAACUUCAGACAGUACGUGCAUAAAAAAAUUAAAAAAAAAACUAUAUACAACAAAUGAGUAAUAAAAUGCAAUCUGCGUACGUCUACUAUCUGAUUAAUGACUCCUAAUUAUUUAGAUAUUACAUUAACAAUCUAUUAUUUAUAAUUUAAGUGCUCACAAUACAAUAGGGUAAUAUCGAAUUUGUUUCGCUUAUCACAACAUUUAUUAACAGAACAAUGGACGGAGUUAUUAAAUUCUGAGAAUAACUUAUUUAGCAUGAUAUCGAAGAUACUCGAUGUUUUGUCGUGGAUAAAUAUAUAUUUAUUUUUCAUUUCAGAUUCAAUUCUGACAGAUGACGUGUGACAUACAUGUACUACGUUACACAUAUAAAUACUGACCAAGUAAAUAUUUACAUGCUCGGGGUUUUGCAACGACGAGUUACUCAAUAUGUGCGCGAAAAAAAAUAAGAAAAUUAACGCAGGACUCAAUAAGUAGGGUACAUUUUUUAGGGCAUUCUCAGACAGUGUCCCCACUUUUUAAAAAUGUCCAAUAACUGAACUGUCGUAGCCGCAUUCAAAUUUUAUUAAUUAAAGGAUUAAUUGAAAAAAGGACAAAAAGUUACGAUUGUUGCCGCGAUAUAUUUUUAAAAAUUACUUACAGCCUGAGUCAAAAUA